rnacentral:rRNA from 1 species
UACGGAGGAUGCAAGCGUUAUCCGGAAUGAUUGGGCGUAAAGGGUCCGCAGGUGGCCAUGUAAGUCUGCUGUCAAAGAAUGAGGCUCAACCUCAUCAAGGCAGUGGAAACUACGUAGCUAGAGUACGGUCGGGGUAGAAGGAAUUCCUGGUGUAGCGGUGAAAUGCGUAGAGAUCAGGAAGAACACCGGUGGCGAAGGCGCUCUGCUAGGCCGUAACUGACACUGAGGGACGAAAGCUAGGGGAGCGAAUGGG